rnacentral:rRNA from 1 species
AUUGAACGCUGGCGGCAUGCCUUACACAUGCAAGUCGAACGGCAGCGCGGGGGCAACCCUGGCGGCGAGUGGCGAACGGGUGAGUAAUAUAUCGGAACGUGCCCUAGAGUGGGGGACAACCAGUCGAAAGAUUGGCUAAUACCGCAUACGAUCUAUGGAUGAAAGUGGGGGACCGCAAGGCCUCACGCUCCUGGAGCGGCCGAUAUCUGAUUAGCUAGUUGGUGGGGUAAAGGCCCACCAAGGCGACGAUCAGUAGCUGGUCUGAGAGGGCGAUCAGCGACACUGGGACUGAGACACGGCCCAGACUUCUACGGGAGGAAGCAGUGGGGAAUUUUGGACAAUGGGGGCAACCCUGAUCCAGCAAUGCCGCGUGAGUGAAGAAGGCCUUCGGGUUGUAAAGCUCUUUUGUCAGGGAAGAAACGGUGGGGGCUAAUAUCCUCUGCUAAUGACGGUACCUGAAGAAUAAGCACCGGCUAACUACGUGCCAGCAGCCGCCGUAAUAC